CCUACGGGUGGCAGCAGUGGGGAAUAUUGGACAAUGGGCGAAAGCCUGAUCCAGCAACGCCGCGUGAGGGAUGACGGCCUUCGGGUUGUAAACCUCUUUCAUCCAGGACGCGGUACUGGAAGAAGAAGCACCGGCCAACUACGUGCCAGCAGCCGCGGUAAUACGUAGGGUGCGAGCGUUGUCCGGAAUUAUUGGGCGUAAAGGGCUCGUAGGCGGUUUGUCGCGUCGGGAGUGAAAACUCAGGGCUUAACCCUGAGCCUGCUUCCGAUACGGGCAGACUAGAGGUAUGCAGGGGAGAAUGGAAUUCCUGGUGUAGCGGUGAAAUGCGCAGAUAUCAGGAGGAACACCAGUGGCGAAGGCGGUUCUCUGGGCAUUCCUGACGCUGAGGAGCGAAAGUGUGGGGAGCGAACAGGAUUAGAUACCCUUGUAGUC
rnacentral:rRNA from 1 species